rnacentral:rRNA from 1 species
GACGAACGCUGGCGGCGUGCUUAACACAUGCAAGUCGAACGGAAAGGCCCUGCUUUUGUGGGGUGCUCGAGUGGCGAACGGGUGAGUAACACGUGAGUAACCUGCCCUUGACUUUGGGAUAACUUCAGGAAACUGGGGCUAAUACCGGAUAGGAGCUCCUGCUGCAUGGUGGGGGUUGGAAAGUUUCGGCGGUUGGGGAUGGACUCGCGGCUUAUCAGCUUGUUGGUGGGGUAGUGGCUUACCAAGGCUUUGACGGGUAGCCGGCCUGAGAGGGUGACCGGCCACAUGGGGACAGAGAGAGGGCCCAGUCUCCUAGGGGGGGAGGAGGGGGGAAAUAUUGCGGAGUGGGGGAAAGCCGGAGACCCCACCCCCGGGUGCGGGAUGACGGCCUCGGGGUUGAAACCCCUUUUCGCCUGUGAAGAGCGGUGAGUGGGGAAAAUGGGAAAAAAACCCCCGGCUAACUACGUG